rnacentral:lncRNA from 1 species
AUUAUUCACCAAAACCAAAAACUGGAAUUUUUCACAAUUAUUCUGUUUCCAUGGAAACGGCAGCCAUUUUUUAUGGUCUUAGACCCACCUGCACCCCCAAAUUUUUUGUUCCACCUUAUAGUGAACUAUCAUUAAGAUUGGUUCCAUUUCACUCCAAAAAACUUGCCGGACAAAAUAGGUGGAAGUAUAAUAAUAAUAAUAAUAAUACAGAAAAAGAAACAGAGGAAAAGCAAUAUGUCACCCGACAUUGUCGAUCGGGUGACAUAAUAAUAAGAACUGAGCAAAAACAAUAAGUCUCCAAACUUUGUU